GAUGAAGAACGCAGUGAAAUGCGAUAAGUAGUGUGAAUUGCAGAAUUCAGUGAAUCAUCGAAUCUUUGAACGCAUAUUGCGCCCCUUGGUAUUCCGAGGGGCAUGCCUGUCCGAGCGUCAUUGCAACCCUUCAAGCACGGCUUGUGUGUUGGACGGCCGCCCCAGUGUGGGCGGGUCCCAAAUGCAGUGGCGGCGCCGCGAUCCGGGUGCUCGAGUGCAUGGAAACCACGCGCUCGUUAGGCCCCGUCGGGCGCCGGCCGACCUAAUUAUCUUCGUUCUGGUUGACCUCGGAUCAGGUAGGAAUACCCGCUGAACUUAAGCAUAUCAAUAAGCGGAGGA
rnacentral:misc_RNA from 1 species